GACGAACGCUGGCGGCGUGCUUAACACAUGCAAGUCGAACGGAAAGGCCUCUUUCGGGGGGUACUCGAGUGGCGAACGGGUGAGUAACACGUGAGUAACCUGCCCUUGACUUUGGGAUAACUUCAGGAAACUGGGGCUAAUACCGGAUAGGAGCUCCUGCUGCAUGGUGGGGGUUGGAAAGUUUCGGCGGUUGGGGAUGGACUCGCGGCUUAUCAGCUUGUUGGUGGGGUAGUGGCUUACCAAGGCUUUGACGGGUAGCCGGCCUGAGAGGGUGACCGGCCACAUUGGGACUGAGAUACGGCCCAGACGCCGACGGGAGGCAGCAGUGGGGAAUAUUGCACAAUGGGUGGAAGCCUGAUGCAGCAACGCCGUGUGCGGGAUGACGGCCUUCGGGUUGUAAACCUCUUUCGCUCAUGACGAAGCUUUGUGUGACGGUAGUGGGUAAAGAAGCACCGGCUAACUACGUG
rnacentral:rRNA from 1 species